AAGAAAAUUGUGGAAGUUCCAGGCUAUGAGAAAUUUAGAGAAAGAGGGCUUCAAUUUCGGGCUGAAUUGACUCAACUCUUUGGGUCUGUAGCUACGGCUGG